rnacentral:rRNA from 1 species
UGGGGAAUAUUGGACAAUGGGCGCAAGCCUGAUCCAGCCAUGCCGCGUGAGUGACGAAGGCCUUAGGGUUGUAAAGCUCUUUUGGCGGGGAAGAUAAUGACGGUACCCGCAGAAUAAGCCCCGGCUAACUUCGUGCCAGCAGCCGCGGUAAUACGAAGGGGGCUAGCGUUGUUCGGAAUUACUGGGCGUAAAGCGCACGUAGGCGGAUUUGUAAGUCAGGGGUGAAAUCCCGGGGCUCAACCUCGGAACUGCCUCUGAUACUGCGGAUCUCGAGUCCGGAAGAGGAUAGUGGAAUUUCCGGUGUAGCGGUGAAAUGCGUAGAGAUCGGAAGGAACAUCAGUGGCGAAGGCGGCUAUCUGGACUGACACUGACGCUGAGGCGCGAAAGCGUGGGGAGCAAACAGGAUUAGAUACCCGUGUAGUCCCUGAGCGGGCUGGCAAGGCGCAU